rnacentral:rRNA from 1 species
AUGAACGCUGGCGGCGUGCCUAAUACAUGCAAGUCGAGCGAACGGACGAGAAGCUUGCUUUUCUGAUGUUAGCGGCGGACGGGUGAGUAACACGUGGAUAACCUACCUAUAAGACUGGGAUAACUUCGGGAAACCGGAGCUAAUACCGGAUAAUAUUUUGAACCGCAUGGUUCAAAAGUGAAAGACGGUCUUGCUGUCACUUAUAGAUGGAUCCGCGCUGCAUUAGCUAGUUGGUAAGGUAACGGCUUACCAAGGCAACGAUGCAUAGCCGACCUGAGAGGGUGAUCGGCCACACUGGAACUGAGACACGGUCCAGACUCCUACGGGAGGCAGCAGUAGGGAAUCUUCCGCAAUGGGCGAAAGCCUGACGGAGCAACGCCGCGUGAGUGAUGAAGGUCUUCGGAUCGUAAAACUCUGUUAUUAGGGAAGAACAUAUGUGUAAGUAACUGUGCACAUCUUGACGGUACCUAAUCAGAAAGCCACGGCUAA